rnacentral:tRNA from 1 species
GUCUGGGUGGCUCAGUCGGUUGAGCAUCUGACUUCGGCUCAGGUCAUGAUCUCACAGUUCGUGGGUUCAAGCCCCGCAUCAGGCU